UACGUAGGUGGCAAGCGUUGUCCGGAUUUACUGGGCGUAAAGAGCGCGCAGGCGGUCGUGCAAGUCGCGUGUGAGAGCCCCCGGCUCAACUGGGGAGGGUCACGCGAUACUGCUCGACUCGAAGGCAGGAGAGGGAAGUGGAAUUCCCGGUGUAGUGGUGAAAUUCGUAGAUAUCGGGAGGAACACCAGUGGCGAAGGCGGCGACCUGGGCAGAUACUGACACUGAGGUGCGAAAGCGUGGGGAGCAAACAGG
rnacentral:rRNA from 1 species